GGAAUAUUGCGCAAUGGAGGAAACUCUGACGCAGUGACGCCGCGUAUAGGAAGAAGGUUUUCGGAUUGUAAACUAUUGUCGUAGGGGAAGAUAAAAGACAGUACCCUAGGAGGAAGCUCCGGCUAACUACGUGCCAGCAGCCGCGGUAAUACGUAGGGAGCAAGCGUUAUCCGGAUUUAUUGGGUGUAAAGGGUGCGUAGACGGGAGAGCAAGUUAGUUGUGAAAUCCCUCGGCUUAACUGAGGAACUGCAACUAAAACUACUUUUCUUGAGUGUUGGAGAGGAAAGAGGAAUUCCUAGUGUAGCGGUGAAAUGCGUAGAUAUUAGGAAGAAUACCAGUGGCGAAGGCGUCUUUCUGGACAACAACUGACGUUGAGGCACGAAAGUGUGGGGAGCAAACA
rnacentral:rRNA from 1 species